rnacentral:rRNA from 1 species
UACGUAGGGGGCAAGCGUUGUCCGGAAUCAUUGGGCGUAAAGCGCGUGUAGGCGGCCACGUUAGUCCGUUCUGAAAGCCCGGGGCUCAACCCCGGGAGGCGGAUGGAUACUGCGUGGCUCGAGUCCGGAAGAGGCGAGUGGAAUUCCUGGUGUAGCGGUGAAAUGCGCAGAUAUCAGGAGGAACACCAAUAGCGAAGGCAGCUCGCUGGGACGGUACUGACGCAGAGGCGCGAAAGCGUGGGGAGCGAACAGG